GUUACUCAUCACUACCAUUGAGAGUUGAACUAGCCCUUCCAUAAUUCUUUUUCACCUCUUUUUUUUUUUUUUCCCAUCGAAGCUUUUUUUCUUUCUGAAUUAUGGCAAUACUCAAUUCUUUUUUACUUCAGUAAUGUUCUUGGUUUUAAAUCAUCUGCACUUUUAGUUCGGACGUUGUUGUUUCAUUUUAAAAACUAGAUUUGAGGGGAAAUGCAUCUCUCCAUUGUGAAGGAAAGAAGACUAAUCUUCAUGCUAGAAGAGUUUCCACGGAAGAAAAACCAAAGCACAACAUCGGUUCAUCAGACAAGGUCUUUCCCAAUGUAAAAGCGGCUAAAGAUAUGCCUCUGGGUCGCCCUCAUUUCACUUUCACUAUCAAAGCCCAUUGCAUUUCAAAGUCUUUGCUGCAUAUUCCAAAACAAUUUGCACGAGCAAACGGCCUCAGCAACAGGAAUUGUACGAUAAUGAUAAGAGAUGAGCAAAGAUCAUGGGCGUUUAAGCUAUAUUACAGUGCAGCCAGAACUUUCAUUGGAGGUGGAUGGCAUGAAUUUUGCACUGCUAAUUUCUUAAAGGAAGGAGAUCACAUAAUGCUUGAGAUAUUUGCCCAGGGAGAGAAACCUCUAUUGAAAUUCUACGGCAAGUUUUCUCAUCUUAGCCCUUGUCUCUUAUAUUUCAUCCACUUUUUUCCGCUAAACCACGAUUACAAUGAAAUGACAUUCUGUUUCUUUAUAACGGUCCUGUCUAGUUCUUAAAAGUUUCUCUUCAUAACUCAUG